GCUGGUUUUAAAUUGUUUGGCACUGUUGAUUUUUAGGGACCCUAACAGAAUAAUCUCAUCAAAGGUCAUUCUGUUGUUCUUUAGCCAAAAAAUUUCCUUCUUAGACCUAAAAAUAUCCAUGGGCAAGGCUUGAAGGGGUUGACCUGCAGGAAGAGAUCUUUAAAUAGUCCUGAUUUAUAGGUUACAAGUAGGUUAUUUUCACAUUAAUUUGAUCCUCUUGACACUAGUAUCUCUGAGCUCAGAGAGGUAGAAUGUUUUCCACAGGAUCCCACAGCUUUAUAAGUCAUGGUGUGGAGCUUUGAAACCAAGUAGUUGUGGCCCUUUCUGCUAUCCCAAACUGGUCCCAAGCAAGUAAAGAUUGGAUUGGAUGAAAAUAUUCAUACAACUUUCAACAACCUCUUCUAUCCACUUAGAAGUCACCAGGCUCAGUGUCGGGAAACUGAGACCCUUUAUCAGAGAAGCUGGAGGAAGAUCCAGGAGAGCUGGAGCAGUUGCAGGCUGAUGCUGUUCACACCAACGGGGCCCUAAAAAUCAAGUUGAAGAGUGAAGUAGUAAGAAAAAGCAGCUUCUCAGUCACUGGGCAUUCUCAGAGCAGAAAGGUUACCUGCAAGUCACACCUUCCUUCACAGACUCAGAGGUGCUGGCUGGAGAUGAUGUAACUGACAGCAACAUCAGAGUCUGGCUCUCAGGGAUUCUCUCCCCUCCGACACUAAAAUCCUUUUCUGUACUGUAUAGAAUAGCCUGCUGUGUUGUCAGACCAUAAACACAUUGAGAUUAAGGAGACACUAAUAAGCACAUUUGAAUACUUGUGUAGUAUGCUAAGAUUUAGACUCAGCACUCCAGAACUGGAAAAGUUGGCCUCUUCGAUGUUACCUAGAGCCAUGAGUCUUAAACCAUUAUCCAGGCUUGGCACACAACAGUUUCACCUGCCCAGCACUCCCUGGGCCUUCCUGGUGUUAUGCCACUGACAGGGCGUUAACCAGAACCUCACACCCCUUCUCUUCCACUCAUGAAAACACAUCAGAAGACAAGUGAGUAAAAGUAAUAUUAUAGGGAUGACCUUCAGUCUGCAAGAACUUAAAAGGCAAGCUUUGAAAUUUAAACCAAUAGUGACAAGGUAGUUGUAAUCCCACUUGAGUGUCACUACUCUAUGGGUAAACAAUUGUAGUCUCCAAAACAGUAUGCAUGUAAAAUGGUCCAUUACCAUGUGGGUGUGGGAAGACAAUAUUAGAACUAGUUUUAGGUAUUUUUUUAAUCUCAUCCUUUAAAAAUUAGUGUUUGUUUUACAAUAAUACUGAAUAUUAGUACAUGUGUAAAAUUUAUAGAUAAAUAUUCAUAUAAUGGGCAUAUAUGCCAAAACAUUUUUUACUGACUGGGGCAAAAUCGAAAAAUUUUUGGAACUAUCAUCAACGUAAAAGAAAGUGAGACAUUUUCUUCAUUUAAGUGCAAACUUUACAAAAGGGUUAGUACUCCAAGUUUUAGGAGAUAAAAGAAAAGCCCAAUGCUGUUCCUAUUAAUUAGUAAAACCCAAAGUAAAAGCUAGUAAUAAAUGUAAAAAAGAGAAAGGAAACAGGGAAACUACUGGAAUGGAAUGAGAACAGCAUCUUUCAACUAAAGAUGCAAUGACACCUACACCCGCCCACGCAGCCCCACACACAUAGGUGCUAGUUAUCGUGUAACCCCCAGA
ensembl:lncRNA